rnacentral:rRNA from 1 species
AGAGCGAACGCUGGCGGCAGGCUUAACACAUGCAAGUCGAGCGGGCGUAGCAAUACGUCAGCGGCAGACGGGUGAGUAACGCGUGGGAACAUACCUUUUGGUUCGGAACAACACAGGGAAACUUGUGCUAAUACCGGAUAAGCCCUUACGGGGAAAGAUUUAUCGCCGAAAGAUUGGCCCGCGUCUGAUUAGCUAGUUGGUGAGGUAACGGCUCACCAAGGCGACGAUCAGUAGCUGGUCUGAGAGGAUGAUCAGCCACAUUGGGACUGAGACACGGCCCAAACUCCUACGGGAGGCAGCAGUGGGGAAUAUUGGACAAUGGGCGCAAGCCUGAUCCAGCCAUGCCGCGUGAGUGAUGAAGGCCCUAGGGUUGUAAAGCUUCUUUGUGCGGGAAGAUAAUGACGGUACCGCAAGAAUAACGCCCGGACUAACUUCGUGCCAGCAGCCGC